rnacentral:misc_RNA from 1 species
AGACAGCUUGAAAUGGAUUUCCGAUCAAUUUUUGAAUUUCAUCCGUUAGUGUUUGCGAGGGGCGGUCGGAGCUUACUAAGUAUGGGCUUAGCAAAAAGAAGUGACUCGGCUCCCCCUAANGCGGUUGCUUCAAUUACGAACUUGCUGAGUGUCUCUAGGUCCUUCGCUUCUUGUCUGCUAAGUAGGCUUAAUGCCUCUAAGCAUCUCGCGCUGUAUCUAGCCGGGCCUUUUGCCUGGCGA